GAUGAACGCUGGCGGCGUGCCUAAUACAUGCAAGUCGAGCGAACAGAUGAGGAGCUUGCUCCUCUGACGUUAGCGGCGGACGGGUGAGUAACACGUGGAUAACCUACCUAUAAGACUGGGAUAACUUCGGGAAACCGGAGCUAAUACCGGAUAAUAUAUUGAACCGCAUGGUUCAAUAGUGAAAGACGGUUUUGCUGUCACUUAUAGAUGGAUCCGCGCCGCAUUAGCUAGUUGGUAAGGUAACGGCUUACCAAGGCAACGAUGCGUAGCCGACCUGAGAGGGUGAUCGGCCACCCUGGAACUGAGACACGGUCCAGACUCCUACGGGAGGCAGCAGUAGGGAAUCUUCCGCAAUGGGCGAAAGCCUGACGGAGCAACGCCGCGUGAGUGAUGAAGGUCUUCGGAUCGUAAAACUCUGUAUUAGGGAAGAACAAAUGUGUAAGUAACUAUGCACGUCUUGACGGUACCUAAUCAGAAAGCCACGGCUAACUACGUG
rnacentral:rRNA from 1 species